rnacentral:tRNA from 1 species
GGUCAAAUGGCUGAGAUAAGGCGGUAGAUUGUAAAUUUAUAGACGGGGAAGCCCCCUUUGACUA